rnacentral:misc_RNA from 1 species
GAUGAAGAACGUAGCGAAAUGCGAUAAGUAAUGUGAAUUGCAGAAUUCAGUGAAUCAUCGAAUCUUUGAACGCACAUUGCGCCCGCCAGUAUUCUGGCGGGCAUGCCUGUCUGAGCGUCAUUUCAACCCUCAUGCCCCUAGGGCGUGGUGUUGGGGAUCGGCCAGCGCCCGCGAGGGACGGCCGGCCCCUAAAUCUAGUGGCGGACCCGUCGUGGCCUCCCCUGCGAAGUAGUGAUAUUCCGCAUAGGAGAGCGACGAGCCCCUGCCGUUAAACCCCCAACUUUCUAAGGUUGACCUCAUAUCAGGUAGGAAUACCCGCUGAACUUAAGCAUAUCAAUAAGCGGAGGA